ACGCCCUGGGAUUGGCCCAUCCCUGCCAGGGAGGCGGGAAUCUCUCUCCGAGAUCUCCGUCCUCUGCGUGAAUCUCGCUCGCUCGCGAGACUGCUGUCUGAUUGGAGACAUGUGAGCUCUUACCUGUCCUGACCAGGUGAAGGGACCCUCUGCAUUGGAAGAUGGGAGCCUGGAGGGCGAGGGAACUGGAAUCGCAGCCCGAACUACAGGCUGCAGGACGCUUUCCUCCCUAGAGCCCAGCCUCGGAGGGCCAGCUGGAAAGCGGCCAUGAGUGGAUGGGUCCUCUGGCAUCAUCGGGACUGGGGAGCGUUACGAGAAACAAUCCUGGAAGAAGCAACCUCUAGGUUUCCUAGCGGAAGCGUUUACCACGGAAUCAUCUGGACUCUGACCAAGAGAGGAAGCUUUAAGUCCAUCCGCUGGACAGGAACACUUCCUGUGGACACCGCCUGCUGUGUGCUCACCGGGGAAGUUCUGA